rnacentral:rRNA from 1 species
GAUGAACGCUAGCGAUAGGCUUAACACAUGCAAGUCGAGGGGCAGCAUGGUCUUAGCUUGCUAAGGCUGAUGGCGACCGGCGUAAGGGUGCGUAACGCGUAUGUAACUUGCCUUUGAGAGGGGGGAUAACCCGGAGAAAUCCGGCCUAAUACCGCGUAUUCUCAAGUUGCUGCAUGGCAGUUUGAGGAAAGAUUUAUUGCUCAGAGAUAGGCAUGCGUUCCAUUAGGUAGUUGGUGAGGUAACGGCUCACCAAGCCGACGAUGGAUAGGGGAGCUGAGAGGCUGACCCCCACACUGGGACUGAGACACGGCCCAG